rnacentral:tRNA from 1 species
UGUUUAAUUAGUAUAAAAAGUACAAUUAAUUUCCAAUUAAUAAGUUUAUUUAAAAUUAAACAA